rnacentral:ncRNA from 1 species
UACGGGGAGCUCGCCGAAGCGGGCUGAGAGGGUGCUUCUUCGCACCGACCCGCGGAACCUGACAUGGGUAAUGCCAACGAAGGGAGAGAGAACAU